rnacentral:lncRNA from 1 species
CUACUUGGCUCCGGAUGAAGCUCUCCUCUGUCACCUGAACGCAGACUUGGUGGUUUGAAGGUGCCUGACUUGGGUCUAGUGCAGAUAUCUGCGGGUGCCCAGCUGCCUCUCCUCUCCUCUCCCCGCUUCCUGGGCAGCAUGUCCUCCCAAGGCUGGGCCUCCUAUCCCAGCUGGCCUUCCCAUUACAGCAGGGAUGGCAGCUUUCUCCAAGGCCUGGCCAAGGACCCCUCGUUCCUGGGGAGGCUUCGGGGUCGCCCCAGGGCAAGGGCCCACUCCAAGGGCCCUCUGAGAGCCCCAUAUGGAUGCCAGGAGUCUGGGAAGCCUUCCUGCCCAUGGCACUCCCGUAGCUCCAGUCCUCGGGACAGAUCACCAUUCCCAAGCCUCCCAAGGACCAUCCAUACCCCUGUAGCCAGCACAUUGUCCUGUGGCCCCUUCGGCAAAGGCUCAAGUCCGCUUAUCAGAUGCCGUCGGGCUUCUCUGCCCCACCUUCGGACGUCCAGUGGGCUCAACCCCAGGACUCUGGGCCUCCAGGGCUGGAGCAGGUCAGAACAGGACCUGCGGUCAUCUGUUUUGGAGAGCGGUCAGCAAAGGGUAGAGCUGGGAAGUCCACUGCAGGCAGCCCGAGGGGUCCUGAAGGAGCCGCCACAGGAGAUCCAGAGGAGGGAGAAAGCCCUGGAGCUCAACCAAAUGAAGUGGGAGCUGCUUGACCUGAGGCAGGAGCAGGUGGAAAGCUCCCUCAUUCGCCUGGAGUGGGAGAGAAGAGAAUUAGAGAUGUCCAGAAGACAAGAGCAAUGGCAGGACAGGGAGCUACACAGCAAAAUCCUACGUCUGCAGACAGAAGUGCAGAAGGUCAAGUUGUGUUUGGACAGAAUGAGCCAACAGUCAUCGUUUCUGGAGGACCCCCAGGUGAGGGUGGCUAGAGGGCAACAUGAGGACUGGGCUCACUCCCAAGCCUGGGGAAGCCUGCCUAUGACUCCUGAGUCUAGAUGCUUGAGUGGACAGCAGGAGAGUCAGGAAGGGACUGGAAGGGGUGGGAUGGGGUGGAAGGAUGGGGAAGUGGCAACUCUCCUAGGUCAGCCAGCAAGCCUCUGCACGGGGAGACAGAGAACAAAGAAGGACCACCAAGUCACACCAAUUAAAUGAUUAAAGAAUAGGGAAUGCUAUAAACUCAAGGGCCAGUGUGAGUCAGGAAGGGUUGUGUGGGAUAGGAGGUCAGAGCACUGAGGCAGGGGGAGUCAGGGAAGGUUCCUGAAAGGUUGAUGGCAUUUGGAAGGGAAGAAAAGGAGCUUUUAUAAGGUAAUAGAGUUGAAAAAGAUUCAGAAGGAGGAAUGAGCA